AGGACUUUUACAAGAACAGAGGAGGCUCAUAAGAGUCAUCUCGAGGCACCUCAGAUCUGAAAGUAUAUGGUGCAUAAUUGGAAAUGGAGCAUGAUGGGGAGAAGUAUGAACCAGAGACUUUUGGAAGAAGUCUGAAUUCUGUGUGCUUUAUAUACAUUUCUCAUGAAGUAAAGGAGACGAUAUCUUCCUCACCAGCAGGAUAAAUAAUAGGUGAUCAAAAGACCCCAGAGCAUGGUGCAAAAAAAAAAUAUGAAACAAACUAAUUUUCCUCGAUCUACAUUUUGGAAAACCACUGUUAUAUUUUUCAGCUCCCAGUGGGAGUUUUUAAUGCCUUUUUCAGCAACAAAACAAAACAAAACAAAACAUUGCAUUACAUACCAUAGGAGAGUAAUGGAAAAGAGAAACAAAAAUCCAGGAUUAAUUCUAAAGUCUUAUAUUCCUAAACACUAUGAAUAUAGAUAAUAGGUCUUGAUUUAAAGCUUUCCAUAUUAAUUUAAUCCCUUGUAAACUCUGCUGUUUCAUAGAAAUUAUACUUUAAGAUGAAGAUUAAAAACAGAAAAAGAAUAUUUUGUGUCUGUUCAUUCAUGUUAUUCCUUGAUUCAUUGUAGCAUAAUGAACAAAAUUUUAGUUUAAGAUUAAAAACUUGCAAUUAUGGUGACAGUUAAAUAUAUAUUAUAGAAACAUGAAAAAACUACAACUCUUUAUGACAUUCAGAGAUCAUGAAAACAUGCUAUUAAGAGAUUUUCAAUAUAAUACUAGAGUAACUUGGAAAAAUAUAAACUAAUAAUUUAAAAACUUUGUGAAAGUCAACAGAUAAUAUUUUAUAAUAUAAAGUUAACAUUCAUUUUUUAAAACUUCAACUCUAGAGCCUAGAAGAUUUGAUGAAAGAGAAACUUUUUUAUUCACUUUAUUGAUAAUGUUCAAUUGUAACAUUUCUGCUGCAUUUAAGAUAGCACAAUCUCACCUUACAAGCAAAUUACUCAUGUCUAUUUCCUAUCUCGAUAAGCACACCUAAGAGCAUACGAUUUUGUUUCCAUUCACAGAUGUACCAUAGAUACUUAUGAGGAACAUUUCCACAUGUUGCACACCUCCUUUAAUUUUGUUUGUUAGUUGGUCCUUGUAGAUCAACUUUAUGGGUUUUAUCUUGACCUAUCACAUUUAUUUGUAACAUAUGAUAAUCUGAGCAAGAAGGCAAAUGCACUUCCAUUUUGACUCUCAACCUGGAUAUACAUAUUUCCCUGACAAUGUGCAGCCUCCAUUGUGAAGACUGAACUUGAGGAUGUGUCUUAGAAAGACUCACCGGAACAUUAGCCAGAUGUUAACAAUGUAUAUUACUGCAGGUCUAAUUUGUUCUGAAAAUCUCUUUGUGAACUUGACAAAGCCAUAUGCCUCAGUAUGUUCUUUCAUCAGUUAAAAAAAAGGGGUUUGGGACUAUUUCAGCAACAAAAAUGCUAUGAAUAUAAUAUUUUGACUAACUGCCUUUUAAAUUUUUAUAUAUUUUCCAUUUGCAUUCAUUUAGGAUAUGUAAUAUAUUCAUAUAGUUCAAAAUGCAAGAGGCAUACAAUUUUAAAGAACAUGUUGAAGGCCUACCCAUCACUGUCAGCCUAAUUUAGCCCACCUCAAUGCUUUUGAGGUAACCACUGUCAUUACUUUUGGAUGCAUCACUCCAAGGUGGCUUUAUGCAAUUAUAAUUGUAUACAAUUACUUUCCUCUUUCUUCCAAAAAAUAAAACUUACUCUAUACAGUAUUCUAAAGAUUGGCUUUUUCAUCAUAUGUAUCUUGAGCUCUUUAAUAUUAUAAUAUAGAAAGUUAUCUUAUUAUCUUUUUCUGCUUUAUGAUAAUGGUAUUAUAGUUUAUUUUAGUAGUCCUUUAUUAAUAAAUACUUGGGUUGUUCCCACUUUCUUGGUGUUACAGACUAUAUUUCAAUGUAUUACUUUAUGCAAUACUUUAUCCAAUCUAUGCAGAAACAUAUGUAAGAUAAAUUCCCAGUGAGAUGUGUUGUUCAUAGGCUAGAAGCAUUUAUUUAGAGAUAUUGCUAAAACUUGUUUCAUUAGAAGUACACCAUUUUUUCUCCCACCAUCUAUGUAUGAAAGAACCUGUUUCUCCUUAGUUUGGGAAAGAAUAUUUUCUCAUCAUUUUGCAUGUUUGUUAAUCAUAAAUAUAAAAAAUAAAUCUUGCUUUAUUUCUAAU
rnacentral:lncRNA from 10 species